rnacentral:lncRNA from 1 species
GGCAGUUGGGUAUCUCAGUGGAUAGAGAACCAAGCCUGGAGAUGGGAGGUCCUAAUUUCAAAUUUGAUCUCAGACUCUUCCUAGCCAUGUGACUGGGCAAGUCACUUAACUCCCAUUGGCUAGCCCUUACCACUCUUCUGCCUUGGAACCAAUACAUAGUAUUAAUUCUAAGAUAGAAGGAAAGGGUUUAAAAAACAACAGCAGCAACAACAACAACAAAAAACCUUGAAUGGGUUCACAAAGGGACAUGCCAAAAAACAAGAACUUAGCCCUUAUUCUGGUACCUCGCUUUAUCUCAGAGGCUGCAUCCUUCUAGGACCUCAGGACUGCCCCCUUUGGAGGUGGAAGGUCAGUGGUCAGAGAGAGGGCUCCCCAAUGCUGUUCACCAAGCUCUUUGGGGCACAUUCAAAACUGAGUUAUGCCAAACCAAAUCGCUGCCCUCAACUUGGGUUUCUUUUCCCCCUUCUCUCUAGGACUAUAAAUCUGACAAUUCUGUGCUCACUUCCAGUGCCAAGAACAGUCCUCAAGGUCCGUUUAUUUUAG